UACGGGAGGCAGCAGUGGGGAAUAUUGGACAAUGGGCGAAAGCCUGAUCCAGCCAUGCCGCGUGUGUGAAGAAGGUCUUCGGAUUGUAAAGCACUUUAAGUUGGGAGGAAGGGUUGUACGUUAAUACCGUGCAAUUUUGACGUUACCGACAGAAUAAGCACCGGCUAACUCUGUGCCAGCAGCCGCGGUAAU
rnacentral:rRNA from 1 species